CCAGCUGUGGAGGAACAAGCUGUCAUGCGUAUUCAUCGUAUUGGUCAAACAAAAAGGGUGAUGAUCAGGCGGUUUAUCAUGAAGGGAACGGUUGAGGAGAAAAUGGAAGCAGUACAAGCACGUAAGCAGCGACUCAUUUCGGGUGCUUUGACUGACCAAGAAGUUCGAACUGCUCGCAUAGAGGAACUAAAGAUGCUUUUUACUUGAAAGCAUUGGAGAAAAUUAUUAACUGUUCAUUUAUGUCACUUUUUUCGGAUGGGUUUGAGCACUAAGAGAUCCUCAUAUGGAAAUGUUUAAACCCAGAAAGAUGAGACGAGAUGCUUCUUCCGAGUUGCAGGACUUCGGGGGAGGUUGGUUGAGGCUAAUUUGUAAUUAAGCUUACAAAAUUUGAAUUCCUGCCGAGUCGAAUCCAAGGACGGUCAGAGCUUGGACUGUGCAGGGUCGUUAUUUUUGCAAGCUGCCUCUAAAGGCGGGUUGGUUCACAGGAAGGAUCGAAAGAAGUUAGCACAUCCAAUCCAAUCCAAAUGUAGUUUUGAUAUUGUUAGGAUUUAAUGGUAGUAAAGUUAUUUCAAAUCAUAGGAAUCCUCUGGAUUAUCCCUUUACAAUUUCUUUGUAUAGAUUGUUUUAUGUAUUUAUUUAGUAACGUUUGCAUCACAUUGUUACAUUGUACCCGGGAUCAAGUUUCUGCUGCAAAACAUAAUCAGUGAGAUUUGUAUCAAA